AGCCUUACCAUCGUAAAAAUAUCCAUAAAAAUAAAAAGUCCCCGAAAUGCCUUAAAAUGCAAGACUAUGUGCCACAUGUUAGCACAAACAAACAGGUUUUCCUUAAAAGCAGCUACAAAGUAGUCACUCUUACAGUGCAAAGUCUGUUGCACAACUAAAUGUUUACACAUCACUAUCAUCAGUAACAGUACAAACUCAAUGUUUUAAACACUUCAUCACUACAUAAAGGCCUUUGUUUGUCAGAACAGCUCAGGGGUCAAGCACUCUGACAAUGGUACCAGGCUUCAAAUUGAAAUGCAUUAGAAAAAACACCUGGUACCAGGUGUUACCAGGUGAGGGCUUUCACUUUUUUUUUUUUAUAUAUAGCUGAAGAAACCUUUGAUGACAUGUAUGAGUUUCAUUAUGAGCUGAGUGUGUGACUGGAUGGUGCAGCGGAAUAGAACACAGACUGUGACUCUGUGGACCUGGGUUCAAUCCCCGGGCUGGGCAACAAUUGUUAUACUCUGCACUUAGUACUAUGGCUUUUUCUUAAGAGCAUGAACUGGUUUCACCAACCAGUAGAAGUUCCAAAUAGGACAUUCUCCAUGGCAAUAUAGCCCAGAGGAUAAGUCCUCGGACUUUGGUCCCAGGAGCGCAAGUUCAAAUCCAGGCCUGGCAGAUACAAUUUUAUUUUGUACCAGGUACCUG